GUGGAAGGAGCAUCAAGGGGCAUGAAAAGGCUGCCCACAUGCAUACCCACUCUGACACAUCAUCCCUAAAGUGCCCACAUCACAGGAUCCCCUGGUGGUGCAGUGGAUUAAACCCUUGUGCCUGCAGGACUGAUGACUUGAAGGUUGGGUUGCUGACCUGAAGGUUGCCGGUUUGAAUCCAACCUGGGGAGAGUGUGGAUGAGCUCCCUCUAUCAGCUCCAGCUCCAUACGGGAACAUUACAGAAGCCUCCCACAAAGAUGGUAAAAACAUCAAACAUCUAGGCAUCCCCUGGGCAACGUCCUUGCAGAUGGCCAAUUCUCUCACACCAGAAGCAACUUGCAGUUUCUCAAGUUGUUCUUGACACGAAAAAAAAUUACAAUGGAAUACAAUAGUUGUGCCAUGCAAUAUUUCUGACUUCUUGUCAUUGGUUUCUUCCAAUAGACUAUUCUGGAAAACUAAAAUGUAGUGGCAACAGCAUUUAAACUAGAAGUAUAGAAGUGACCAUGGAUUUUUCAGAAAGGUCUAUAUCAUUCGUCAUAUAGUGACAACCAGAGGGGAAUCAAAGC
rnacentral:lncRNA from 11 species